rnacentral:rRNA from 1 species
AAGUUUGAUGGCGACCGGCGCACGGGUGAGUAACACGUAUCCAACCUGCCGAUGACUCGGGGAUAGCCUUUCGAAAGAAAGAUUAAUACCCGAUGGCAUAGUUCUUCCGCAUGGUAGAACUAUUAAAGGAUUUCGGUCAUCGAUGGGGAUGCGUUCCAUUAGGUUGUUGGCGGGGUAACGGCCCACCAAGCCUUCGAUGGAUAGGGGUUCUGAGAGGAAGGUCCCCCCACAUUGGAACUGAGACACGGCCCAGACUCCUACGGGAGGCAGCAUG